CUGGGGAAAUCUUCCGGCUUAACCGGAAGGCGUCUCAGGGAUACUGGCAGACUAGGGACCGGGAGAGGUGAGGGGUACUCCAGGGGUAGGAGUGAAAUCCUGUAAUCCUUGGGGGACCCCCUGUGGCGAAGGCGCCUCACCAGAACGGCUCCGACAGUGAGGGACGAAAGCUGGGGGAGCAAACCGGAUUAGAUACCCGGGUAGUCCCAGCUGUAAACGAUGCGCGUUAGGUGUAUCGGUGACCACGAGUCACCGAGGUGCCGAAGAGAAAUCGUGAAACGUGCCGCCUGGGAAGUACGGUCGCAAGGCUGAAACU
rnacentral:rRNA from 1 species